GACGUAGGGCGCGAGCGUUGUCCGGAUUUAUUGGGCGUAAAGAGCUCGUAGGCGGCUUGUCGCGUCGACUGUGAAAACCCGCGGCUCAACUGCGGGCCUGCAGCCGAUACGGGCAGGCUAGAGUUCGGUAGGGGAGACUGGAAUUCCUGGUGUAGCGGUGAAAUGCGCAGAUAUCAGGAGGAACACCGGUGGCGAAGGCGGGUCUCUGGGCAGUAACUGACACUCAGGGACGAAAGCUAGGGGAGCGAAUGGG
rnacentral:rRNA from 1 species